rnacentral:lncRNA from 1 species
AUUUCCUGAUUCCUGUCGGGCGGCAGGGCGGGAUUGGGGUGGGGGAGGGCGGCUGUGGGAGCCGCAGGCCGGCCCGGGCUGGACGGACCCCUCCAGGUGGACCGGAAACAGGCCUGCCCUGCAAUUCCAGCCCCUGCCACCCACUGCCCACCCUAUGUCCAUCUGUCCUUCCCCCAAGAGCCUGUCACCAGCCCCUGCAUGCUGCCCCCAGACUCCACACCAGGCUGCAUGACAACAGUGGGCUGCCUGGGCGGAGUGGGGGCGAAGGCUUUCCCUGAGCUUCUUCAGAGCAGCUGCGAACUGCAGGUCCCUGGAGGGUUUUCCCAGAACAGCACGUCUGCUCUUGAGCCCCCUCCUCCGGCUCGACUCGACGGGCCAAGCGCUCCCCUCCCGCCACCGCGAGUUCCUGAGAACCCAGAUGUUCCCCGAGCCCGUCUGCCCCCACACCCAGCGCCUCUGUCUGCGGAUGUGAAGCAAACGCGGGGGACAUGGAGACCAAAUGUGGGCUCGGGCUCGGCAGGGCGGGUCCGCCCGGACCGACGUCCAAGCCCCCCCCGCCGCCCCCACACCCCUGCCACCGCCCCUCCUGCAGCUCCCAGCCCUGAGCCUGUGUGUGGACGUCUCUGGACAAACGAGGACACGGAGCCUCUGAAGCCCAUACGCCCGUCCUGAGGUCACACGGCCAGCAGGGGACAGCGCUGGUCCCACGGCCCCUGCUCUCCGGGUUCCGGGUCUCGGGGACACUGGGCGAUGCCAGCAGCGUCCCAGAACUGUGGUUAGGACAGAGGGUUGAGUGGCCCCUGCAGACCCUGUUCCUGGGAAGGGUUAGGGAAGGACAUGGGGGGGGGGCUGCAGAACAGUGUGUGGUCACCCGGGACUCGGGUGACGCCGCGCAUGGCCAGCGGCGGGGAGCACGCCCUCUUUUCUUGGGGUCCAGAGGUCUGGAGGGCUGUCCGUGGUGGGGGUGGGGGGCUGCUGGUCAGGAGGGGCCCUGGCCUCCCCUCCCUCCCCCUGCCAACAGGCCUUGUUCAGCAGCCGUGUGAAGGGGGUGGACAGGCCUGCCGCCAAGUCCCUGGUCACAUGCCUGCCAGCGUGCAGUGACCUUGCAUCAUUUUGGAGACCAGCCCCGGGGCCUGCAGCUCAGCACGAGGGUCUCAUCAGGCCCCAGUGACCCUGCCCUCGAGGGAGCUGGAGAGGGAGGCGCCGCAGUUACUGCCCAGCCCCCACCUGCUGAGGAGGGCAGCCCUGUGCCAUGGGAGUCCUGGCCCCACAUCACCACCUGCCAGGCAAGAGGGACCCCCACCCUCAGGUGGGGGUGAGGGAGCCGGGGGGGGGUAGGUCUAGGGGGUGCUGCCCCCAGCCCAGGGUCCUGUCCAUGGCCUCGUUGCCCACGCCCAGCAGACGGGCCAGGACAGGGCCCUGCCUUGGAGACCAGCCCCCCAAGGCCAGCAGAGCAGGAAGCGACUAUUGUUUACAGGAUGCUCUGGCGUCCUGGGGGCCCCACUUGGUGGGCUCUGGGCCCUGCUGGGGGGUGGCCCUUGGCUGUCACUGCCUGGGAAGGCCUCACCCCAGGACCCCGCUGGGCCUCCCGUGGGCCCCCAGUUGCAUCUUAGUCUUCCGUCUCUGAGGACGGCUGCCAAGCUUCGCCCACAGCCUCAGACAGCCGGGAAAG